GGGGGGGGGUAACUUUUGGAACAGAAAGCUCCACCCAUCCUGCUCCUUACUGCCUUCAACCAAACCAGCUAAAGCACCCCACCUCAGGCUGCCCGGUUCCUGUCUCUGCUCAGAGUACCCACGCAUGACAAGUCUGGGACUUGGAUGGAGGCCUGAGGGACUUGAGACUUGAGUUUACGUGGAAAUAAAUGCACUUUCGGUUCUCCCAGAUCCGUCUGUGGAAGACCCCACCCUUUCCCAAGCCCACGCGAGUGGAAUCAGGGAGGCGACCCAAUACAUUUCUAAGUAGGCUCCUGGA